rnacentral:rRNA from 1 species
GAUCAUGGCUCAGGAUGAACGCUAGCGGCAGGCUUAACACAUGCAAGUCGAGGGGGUAGGUUACUUCGGUAAUUGAGACCGGCGCACGGGUGCGUAACGCGUAUACAAUCUACCUUUUACAGAGGGAUAGCCCAGAGAAAUUUGGAUUAAUACCUCAUAGUAUUUUUGAAUCGCAUGAUUUGAUUAUUAAAGUUCCAACGGUGAAAGAUGAGCAUGCGUCCCAUUAGCUAGAUGGUAAGGUAACGGCUUACCAUGGCUACGAUGGGUAGGGGUCCUGAGAGGGAGAUCCCCCACACUGGUACUGAGACACGGACCAGACUCCUACGGGAGGCAGCAGUGAGGAAUAUUGGUCAAUGGACGCAAGUCUGAACCAGCCAUGCCGCGUGCAGGAUGACGGUCCUAUGGAUUGUAAACUGCUUUUGUACGAGAAGAAACAACAUUACGUGUAAUGUCUUGACGGUAUCGUAAGAAUAAGGAUCGGCUAACUCCGUG